CUCGGCCAGAAGCUAGCAAGUGUCAGGUGAAUCCACAACACCACAAACGUCUUUUCAAGCCAGAUUGGAGAGGAAGGAGAAGGAAACAUUAAGGGAGUAAAAAGAGUGAAGCAAGGAGGGUGUAGAAGAGUGAGGUGGAAAGGUGAAGAGAAGGAAAGGAAGAUGAGUGAAGAAAAGAGGAGAAAGAUUGGAGGAGAAGAAAAAGUUGAGAGUAAGAAGAGUGACAAGGAGAGUGAAGAACAGACAGAGGAGAUACAAUGACUCUUCCCAAGAAACGGAAAUGCACUUUAUGAAAAACAUGAGAAUUUCCAUUUAUACGCUCAGGUCAAGAAGAUAGAAUGGUUCACUGCACCCUUUGUAAUUCCUCUCUUUCAAUUGGCAGCCGGAGAAGAACGGCAGUGGUAGAACAUCAACAGACAAAAAAGCAUUAAGCCUCUCUGAUUGGCCGUGUUGGUAUGUCCUCUGUCACCACAUUCUUCAAGAAGGUAGAGCCUUCCCAAGAAGAAUAUGGUUUAGCUGUGCAGGAGGGUGUCUUUGCAUACCACACUAUGCGACACAAUCAUAGUUACAGAUCUAUGGACUGCACAGCACAACUGACACGGAAGCUUUAUGAGCCAAAGUCUACAUGUGCUAGGUCAAAAUUUGAUGCCAUAGUGAGUAACGUGUUAGCAACAUGGGCAACUACUUUGGUAACACAGGACCUAGACCAGGUUGAAUUUCUGUCCCUGUCCAUUGAUGUGUCCAUUCAUGGACAUGUAAAGCUGCUGCCAAUAGUAGUCAUAUGUAAGAUAUAUGAAGGCAGCACAUCUGUGGAAACAAAACUGCUCGAUUGUGUUGAAUUGAAUGGAGAAACAGCAGAGAAAAUUGCAGCUGAGGUCCUGGUGGUCAUCAAAAAAUGUAACCUGGAAAACAUCCUCUGCUGACAACAAAUACCAACUUUGGGGGACUGAAUAGGCUGGGGAGGGUCAAUGUCCAUACCAAAGUUAAAAAUGCUCUGCAGUGGGAGGUGAUUGGCUUAGGUUGUCCUGCCCACAUCAUUCAUAACACGGCCAGAACAGCUUUGGAUAUGAUGUUGAGUACCUGCUCACAAACAUAUUUGGAAUAUGUUCAUAUUUUCACCGUCGGAGUAGAAAGACUAAAGGGCUUUUGUGAGUUUGUUGGCCAGGAGUACCAUAACAUUUUAUGAAACGGCAAUGUUCACUGGAUGUCCAUGCUCCCUGCUCUAGAAAGAGUGCUGAAAAUGUAUGUGCCAUUGAAAUCCUUUAUUUCUUUUGACAAAUGCCCUGUGAACAAUGUUCGAAGAUCCACUGACUGAACUUUGGCUGGCCUUUGUCCAUGGAAACUUGGCCGUAUUCAGUGACACGAUCAAGAUGCUUGGAGGCCAGGACCACUGUGCUGUGGAGUCCGCUGCAAUUCUGAGAAACGUUUAGGCAAAAUUGACUGAUGUGACAACUUCAUUCCAGUUUUGGUCAGAGGACUUUGAGAGAGCUAGAGGAAAAUGGAGUCAUGUCUGAAGAGAGCUUUCUCAAAACAUCCCAAUCAUUCUUCACUACGGCUGUGAACUACUUGCAAGCAUGGGGAAAGCACACAGAUAAUCUAAAAGAUUUACAUAGUCUCUUUUUAAAAAGGCAACCUCUGCGUGAAGAGAUCCAGAAGGCAGCAGGCACACUGCAGGAAAAAUGCCCCAAUGUGACCAUCAAUGAGGAUACAUUGUGUGACUGGAUACAAGGUUACUGGCCUGCAAGAGUUCCUAAAGGGGGGAUCGCUUGAAGAAUGGAAAACAUCUGAGACACCGCUCAGUCAGAGAUGGAGCAUGGUGGUUACCGACUUCAAAGUGAAUGACAUCCCACACACUAACCUGGCUAGAUUAGCAUCUGUUGUCAUGUGCUUACCUGGAAGUAAUGCACCAGUCGAGAGAGUGUUCUCCCAAAUGAAUGAUCUAUGGACAGCAGCAAGAAAUAGAUUCACUGUUCCUACCAUCAAGGCCAUGCUUAUUGUGAAGACAAACUUCAACCUCCCUUGCCAGGAGUUCAUGGAGAAGCUGGCCAAAGACAGAGCAAUCCUGAAGAAAAUACAUUCUUCUGAGAAAUAUACAGAUUAGGUCCCUAUAAGUACAGUGGGGAGAAUACGUAUUUGAUAACCUGCAAAAUCGGCAGUGUUUCCUACUUACAAAGCAUGUAGAGGUCUGUAAUUUUAUCAUAGGUACACUUCAACUGUGAGUGACGGAAUCUAAAACAAAAAUCCAGAAAAUCACAUUGUAUGAUUUUUAAGUACUUAAUUUGCAUUUUAUUGCAUGACAUAAGUAUUUGAUCAUCUACCAACCAGUAAGAAUUCCGGCUCUCACAGACCUGUUAGUUUUUCUUUAAGAAGCCAUCCUGUUCUCCACUCAUUACCUGUUAACUGCACCUGUUUGAACUCGUUACCUGUUUAAAAAGACACCUGUCCACACACUCAAUCAAACAGACUCCAACCUCUCCACAAUGGCCAAGACCAGAGAGCUGUGUAAGGACAUCAGGGUUAAAUUGUAGACCUGCACAAGGCUGGGAUGGGCUACAGGACAAUAGGCAAGCAGCUUGGUGAGAAGGCAACAACUGUUGGCACAAUUAUUAGAACAUGGAAGAAGGUCAAGAUGACGGUCAAUCACCCUCGGUCUGGGGCUCCAUGAAAGAUCUCACCUCGUGGGACAUCAAUGAUCAUGAGGAAGGUGAAGGAUCAGCCCAGAACUACACGGCAGGACCUGGUCAAUGACCUGAAGAGAGCUGGGACCACAGUCUCAAAGAAAACCAUUAGUAACACAUUACGCUGUCAUGGAUUAAAAUCCUGCAGCGCACGCAAGGUCCCCCUCAAGCCAGCACAUGUCCAGGUCCAUCUGAAGUUUGCCAAUUACCAUCUGGAUGAUCCAGAGGAGGAAUGGGAGAAGGUCAUGUGGUCUGAUGAGACAAAAAUAAACUCCACUCGCCGUGUUUGGAGGAGGAUGAGUACAACCCCAAGAACACCGUCCCAACCGUGAAGCAUAGAGGUGGAAACAUCAUUCUUUGGGGAUGUUUUUCUGCAAAGGGGACAGGACGACUGCACCGUAUAGAGGGGAGGAUGGAUGGGGCCAUGUAUCGUGAGAUCUUGGCCAACAACCUCCUUCCCUCUAUAAGAGCAUUGAAGAUGGGUCGUGGCUGGGUCUUCCAGCAUGACGACCCGAAACACACAGCCAGGGCAACUAAGGAGUGGCUCCGUAAAAAGCAUCUCAAGGUCCUGGAGUGGCCUAGCCAGUCUCCAGACCUGAACCCAAUAGAAAAUCUUUGGAGGGAGCUUAAAGUCCGUAUUACCCAGCGACAGCCCAGAAAUCUGAAGGAUCUGGAGAAGGUCUGUAUGGAGGAGUGGGCCAAAAUCCCUGCUGCAGUGUGUGCAAACCUGAUCAAGAACUACAGGAAACGUAUGAUCUCUGGAAUUGCAAACAAAGGUUUCUGUACCAAAUAUUAAGUUCUGCUUUUCUGAUGUAUCAAAUACUUAUGUCAAUAAGAUGCAAAUGAUUUACUUAAUCAUACAAUGAUGGCUUCCGGGUUGGAUGCGCUGUGUUAAGAAUCAGUGCAGCUUGGUUGGGUUGUGCAUCGGAGGACACAUGACUUUCAACCUUCGUCUCUCUCGAGCCUGUAUGGGAGUUGUAGUGAUGAGACAAGAUAGUAGCUAAAAACAAUUGGAUACCACGAAAUUGGGGAGAAAAAGGGGUAAAAAAAAAAAUGUAAUCAUACAAUGUGAUUUUCUGGAGUUUUGUUUUAGAUUCUGUCUCUCACAGUUGAAGUGUACCUAUGAUAACAAAUUUGACCUCUACAUGCUUUGUAAAUAGGAAAACCUGUCAAAUCGGCAGUGUAUCAAAUACUUGUUCUCCCCACUGUAUAUUAUGUAGUUACCAAUCUCAACAGCGUCCUUUAUUAUGUUAAGUAUUUCACAUAUACUAUUGUCUUUUUUUCCAAUUUUGCUCGUUUUCUUCUGCUCUUAUUCUACCCAGACUACCAGGACCACUGAAUGGCUGUUCAGAUCGGACAGUUCUGUCUUGUCUGUAGUGUUUCUGUAACAGUUGUUUUCUCUAUCACAGUGUGCCUGUUAGACUCAAUACAUGAAACCGGAAUUGUCCCCCUUUUUAUUUCAUAGAUAAUAACGUUGGAUAUUUUAAUGAUAUAUUGACCGCAGAACUGGAAAUGUCCCCGGUUUUCAUUUCAGAAAUCUGGUCACCUUAGGUUAAAGAGCUAUUGAAUUUUGAAAAAUUUGAUUUGUCAUUAUGUUGACGGUCCCUAACUGCUGUUGGUAGACGUAAGGAAAACUACAUGCGAAUAUCCAUCGAAUAUCAAACCUGAAACUGUCUUUACCUCGGUGCGAAUUGGUUAGGUUACUAAUGUUUACUCAUCUGAUGUUGUAGCUGUCUGACUUUAUUAGCAAAGCUAAUUUUCACACCAUAAACUCAUUUAUUUGACCAGAUAAAUUGGCUAAUGUUGCUCAACAUUUCUCUGCCGAGCCAACGUCCAUCACAAUUUCUCCCUCACCUCAAACUUUCCAAAUGCCAGUAGGUUUCGGUUACAGCUCAUGAAGUACGCUUCGUCACCUUCUCACCCUGGUCAGGCUUAUCACCUAACGUUAUCGUUGGUGCUGUAACUAGUGAUUGGCUGUCUCUUCUUUCUUCCAUUCUGUUAUGUAAACGAUUGGCAGAGCCUUGCAUACAGUCAGUAUUGCUACAAACGCGGUUUACUCGUUCGCUUACAGACAGCUGUGAUCCAACCCCCCCCCCCAAACUUUUUUCAUCGGAUCUACACGAAUCACGUAGGUCACCUAUUUUGGAUUCAAAACGGUGAAUUACGCCAAAAGGUGACUAGUUUGCAUCCCUGCAGGAUUCAGUUUAUUACAGUCAAUGAGUUGAGGACAGUUUGAGUGUGUUUCUCCAUCCUUGUAGUGGAUCAUCAGGAAAGCUAUAUAUACACUCAUUAUACUGCACUUCACACAGGUCAGAGAUCACCAUCAGAUCAAUGGCUCCAUACACACUCAGGUUGUACAACUGAUGUUCAUUGCAUUUGGUGAACACCCGAGUCAGGUGAUAGUUAAGUUGACUAUUCCGGUAAAGAGAGAUUCGUUAAUUUGUUCAAAUUGUAGCCGAGUCAAGCCAGUUGUACAAGUUGGUACCUGGUAGAAAUACACAUUUAGGUGAGGUAAAAUAAAUCAAGUGAUGCAGCCAGGUCACACCUGUGGAAAAAUAUGGUCCAAAGGCCCCAAACAUGUUGCCAUGGUAACGUGGGCAGGUGCGUGGUCUGGGUGGUGUGUGCUGGGUUGGUCUUAGAAUUCAUAGGGGCUGGGGGGGA
ensembl:lncRNA